UACGGAGGGGGCGAGCGUUAUUCGGAAUUAUUGGGCGUAAAGGGCGCGUAGGCGGCCCGGUAAGUCAAAGGUGAAAUCCCUCGGCUCAACUGAGGAACUGCCUUUGAAACUGUCGGGCUUGAGGCCGGGAGGGGGUAGCGGAAUUCCCAGUGUAGCGGUGAAAUGCGUAGAUAUUGGGAGGAACACCGGUGGCGAAGGCGGCUACCUGGACCGGUUCUGACGCUGAGGCGCGAAAGCGUGGGUAGCAAACAGG
rnacentral:rRNA from 1 species